GUCCUUGCCUGGACUACAGUUACUUAUUUAAAUCUGGCAUUUAGUUUAUUAUCAGAUGACAUGACAUGUAAACAUGGCGGUGUCAUUUCAGGUGAAAGCCCUAUAUGACUUUGAAGCUCAGCCUGGAACAGGAGAAUUAAGUAUAUCAGCUAAUGAAAUCUUAACUGUUACAAAUCAGGAUGUUGGUGAAGGUUGGUGGGAGGGUGUUAAUAACAGAGGACAGAAAGGACUUUUUCCUGCAGGUUAUGUUGAGGUAAAAAGU